rnacentral:rRNA from 1 species
UCGGGAAUUUUGGGCAAUGGGCGAAAGCCUGACCCAGCAACGCCGCGUGAAGGAUGAAAUCUUUCGGGAUGUAAACUUCGGAAGAAUAGGAAGAAUAAAAUGACGGUACUAUUUUUUAAGGUCCGGCUAACUACGUGCCAGCAGCCGCGGUAAUACGUAGGGACCAAGCGUUGUUCGGAUUUACUGGGCGUAAAGGGCGCGUAGGCGGCGUAAUAAGUCACUUGUGAAAUCUCCGGGCUUAACUCGGAGCGGCCAAGUGAUACUGUUAGGCUAGAGUGCAGAAAGGGCAAUCGGAAUUCUUGGUGUAGCGGUGAAAUGCGUAGAUAUCAAGAGGAACACCUGAGGCGAAGGCGGGUUGCUAGGCUGACACUGACGCUGAGGCGCGAAAGCUAGGGUAGCAAACGGGAUUAGAUACCCAAGUAGUCCCUGAGCGGGCUGGCAAGGCGCAU